rnacentral:lncRNA from 1 species
AGAAAAUGGAGCCUUUCAUAAAGAUAAUGAGGUGCAUUCAAUGAUUUACAGAAAUGAGGAAAAUUGCUUACAAUUUUCUCUGCCAGUUUGGCUUUCUUUUUAUCUACCAGAAAUAUUUUAGAGAUAACACACAUUACCGCCUUGAAGUUUAAAGAGGGAUGGAGAAGGAUGAGUUGGAUUGUCCUUUAUUUUGCCUUUCACACAGGACAAUUGUCUGUGAGCUAAAUCAGGCCAAGUGGCUGUAUUUUAUGCAGGUAUAAAUGACUGAGGGAUACUUCUAAAGUGUGAUUCAGCUGUCAUAUUUUAGAUGUCUAUUUUCAGAUGAGAUGAAUUGCACUGCAGAAAUGCUGAUUUCUUCUUACUGACUAUAAAGGAAGCCUCAGGUGACCAGCUCAGAUAAUAGGAAAAAAAUAGGUGAGAGAGUAUUUGAGAAAGACUGUAUGAGCAUAUAAUGAAAGAAUGUGUCAUCACUCUUUCACAGACUGAAGCAAAAUGAAUAUCACAUGCACCACUGCCAUCUCAUGUUUACUAAGUGAUUAUCUUUCAGCCUUCAUGUUAUCUUAGUGUAUCAUGUUAAAACAGUCUACCAAGAUGACUCAUAUCAUACACAUGAACAUGAGCACACUCAUAUGUUCUUCUCUAGGCUGUUCCCUCGAAAGCACAAGAUGAAGCUUCUUGGGAGAUGAAGAAUUGUCCAACAUUGUUAUGAAAUUGAGAAAAGAAAUCCUACUGGGAUACUGUGUGGAGUGUGUGAAAUUAAGGCAAGGUGAGAGAACAUCCUCUUUACCUCCUCUACAAGGAUCAGAAUGAGAUAUAGGCCUCAGCAGUACAGACACUUUCCCACGAGGGACACAGCCUGCUGAAUAUAAAUAUUGUAGGCAGUGAGUCACCAAAGAUGAUGUCAUUGAUUUAUGCAAGGAUUGCAGAGUUUGGACUUGGUGAGAGAGGUUUUCUCGUCUAAAUGCAGCUAGAUUGUCAUAUGCAAUUUCAGCAAAACCAAGGCUUUGAAAUAGAUGUAAGAAGAGAAACCGAAGAGGAAGUGAAAGGGAAGAGGACUGCAUACUUUUUGAGGAAGAAUCUGCAUGAAACUGAGAAUGAAAUCAAAGGGACAGCGCCUCACUGCAGCCAGGCUGACUGGAAUGGAAGUACAGGGGGCUACUGGCCUAAUAUAGAGCCAAUAAAACAAUAUUCCUCUAAAUUUUGUAUAAAGACCUGUGGCAGGAGAUAAACCACACUGAACCUCAAAGCAGUGCUUUAAAGACUGCUAAAUGAACAAGUGCUGCUGUAACACCAGAGGACAAGCACCACAUGGCUUCUUCAAUGAGAAAUGAAUAUCAGUGACCCACAGAUCAGGUAGGUGAAAACAAGCCCAAAUGGGAGAGAAGCCUCCAAGUGCAGAAGGGACAUUAGCAUCAGCACCAGCAGCAGCUGGGCUUCUGUCAAGCAAGGCUGUGUGGAAGAUGAUAACCUCUUCUUUUUCUCUGUAAAUACGUAUUUUACAACAACUUGGCAAAACACACAGAAACCUUCCUAGGAAUAUUUACAGCUGAUGCAAUGCCUCAUUGAGUACUAAUGGUGAAAAACAAGAAGUUAUUGAUACUUACUGUCACAACAGUGGGCCACAAGCCAUUUAUGUCCACAGCAGCUCAAGCCAUCCCAGGAAGCAAUGAAUCUGACAAAAAUGCAUGUUAGGGGCCCAGAGUACUAUUGGUGGACCACCCACUCUGUGCAACGUUGUGAUCAAAAGGGAGGUUGUGAUCCAUGGAUGCAGAAUUGAAGAACGCCAAGUUGGAUCUGAAUUUUGAAGAACUGAUACCUGAGCUGAGAGAACAGAAAAAGUAAGUUUUAUGGUAAAAGACUCCACUCUAUUCAGCAUCCCUGAAAAAAGCUGAAUUGUGACAACUCGGGGAACAGAGGGCAGUUAUGUUCUCCAUCCCACAAACAGAGGAGGAAGAAAUCCAUUGGCCAGAAGGCAAAGCACAACUUAGGAUAAAAAUAAAGUACAUACUUCUUACUGGGAAGAUACUUAA